GCACGAGUACUACGCGCGCCUAUAAAAGCAGCGGCGCCGGCCGGGCUGCGGGAGGCGAGCCGGCACCAGUGCGAGCGGCCCGACAGGUAAGGACCACCGACAGUCCGAGAUGGGCCGGUGCGCGGACACCGCGGGAGGGCAAGGAGGGGACCGGAGGGGCGGCGGGUUGGACGGCGACUGCGGAGUGAGGAUGGGGGCAGAGUGGGAGGGACGAAGGUUCCUUUUAGCUUGGUGGACCAGGGCUCGGCGGCUGACCCAACCCUAUGCAGCCCCUGCGGGCCGGCACCCAAACGCAGACGCAGACACUCUGGAGAAGCAUCGAGCGGAGAACCGAGCCCCCCGACCCCAUUUCCCGAGGCGGAGCGGCUCCUGCGCCAUCCUUUCAAGAAAGUGGGGAGAAGAAGGUGCUGGCGUCUCAGGAGACGCGCCCCCUCAUUUCUCCCCUGUCCGCAGAGCGGUGACUCAGCCUAGAUGGCCCCGACUGACUGAGCCAGGGCGCCCACGACAGACAGACGCACACCUCGGCCCUGCGGCUCCCUCGGGACCCCCGUCCCGCAUGCUGCCCGCACGCCCCUUCCCUGCCCCGUCCCGUCCCGUCCCGUCCCAUCGGACUGUCCCACUGAGCUCAGGACUUCCCGCCUCUGCCAGCGGAGCUGUCCUCUCAGGACCAGGCGGGGGCGGGGCUUCGACCAGGCCGCCCCGCCCUAUUUCCCCCCCCACCGCUCCCCACCGCCGGAAGUGCCUCCCCGCCGGGACAUCUUUGACGUCACAGGACUCUGAUGUCACGGUCGCGUGUCUGUCCGCGCGCGCUUGGACGGAGGGGGGGCCCUGAGAAGCAGCAGCACUCUCAACUGCGGGCGACGGGAUAUCCCCGCCCGGGCAGCGCGCCGGCACCUUGGCUCUAGACUGCUUACUGCCCGGGCCGCCCUCAGUAACAGUCUCCAGUCACGGCCACCGACGCCUGGCCCCGCCCCAGGACCGCAGACCCCCAGCCCCUCCGCCCCUCCCCGCGCCGCUGUCCGCGGUGCUGAUGCAGUGCAAGCGCCUCCCUCGGGCACGCCUGUCCCAGGUCCCCAUGGGUUGCGGUGGGCGCUGGCCCCGCAGACACUCGCGCCACCCACGCCGCCCGCGGUGCUGACGUCAUCCCUCAAGCCCCGCCCCGCGUCUCCAGGGCAACCGUGGCUUUCGAUUGUUACUGUGGGAACCGGAGGUAACAGUCUACAGCCAUGGUCGCCCCGCAGCACGCCCACGCUCCCCACCACUCCCGAGUUCUGCCAGCCUGGGUUUGGGCAGAUACAGAGCAAGAGGAGGCGGGGCGGCGACGCAACAUCCGAUGUGUCUGCGGAGGUGGCAAGAGAUGUGCUCAGAGAGGCGGCCUCCUGGGCUGCUGCGCAUCUACCUCAGGCACAGAAGCAAGAUCCACGGAGUGUCUGAACAUCCUCCUCAGUAACUAUCCAGUCUUCCCAGUCGAGGUAUCGCUGCCUAAGGUGGCGAGAAAAUGGGUGGUUCUGCGAUAAGGAUUCUUAUCUCAUGAGUGGUGCACGGAUGGGAUCAGGAGUCCUGUAAGAAGGAAGAAGUCGCUUUUGCCCGCAGAGAGCUGAAGGGGGAGGAGAAGGAAGUUUUAUCACACCUUUCUUCCAGAAAACCCUAGGGCUACCGAGGAGUACAAGUCAUCCUUCUCCCCAGCUUGGAGUCGAUUCACAGGGCAGCCUAUGACUGCCAGUGGGUCUGAGUACCGAUAUACAGACCCAUCAAUUAUUUACAGAAAAGCAAAGACUACUAGUAGCCCAAAGCCAAUGGGGUUUAUAGAAUUGCAUCUGCUCAAUCUCCUUCUGUCAAGGAAGCAAACCCUGCAAAGCAAGAGGAAGGCGCAGAGACCAACUCCCCAUCCCAGCUGCUAAAAGGGCAUCUGAAUCAGUAAAUGGGACUUUGGGGUAUAAUUCCA